rnacentral:tRNA from 1 species
GCCUGAGUGGUGAAAUUGGUAGACACGCCAGACUCAAAAUCUGGUGGUAGCGAUAUCGUGUCGGUUCGAGUCCGACCUCAGGUACCA